GAUGAAUGCUGGCGGUAUGCUUAACACAUGCAAGUCGAACGGUACCUUCGGGUAUAGUGGCGGACGGGUGAGUAACGCGUGAGAAUCUGUCUUCAGGUCGGGGACAACAGUUAGAAAUGACUGCUAAUACCGGAUGUGCCGAAAGGUAAAAGAUUUAUUGCCUGAAGUUGAGCUCGCGUCAGAUUAGCUAGUAGGUGGUGUAAGAGACUACCUAGGCGACGAUCUGUAGCUGGUCUGAGAGGACGAUCAGCCACACUGGAACUGAGACACGGUCCAGACUCCUACGGGAGGCAGCAGUGGGGGAAUUUUCCGCAAUGGGCGAAAGCCUGACGGAGCAAUACCGCGUGAGGGACGAAGGCUUUUGGGUCGUAAACCUCUUUUAUUAGGGAAGAUUUCAGGACGGUACCUAAUGAAUAAGCAUCGGCUAACUCUGUGCCAGCAGCCGCGUAAU
rnacentral:rRNA from 1 species